rnacentral:lncRNA from 1 species
CCAUCUCUGAUGCGGUGAUGCCUCAAGCGUCUGCAAUCAGAUGUGGAACGUUGAGGAUGCAAAGAAAGAUGAUUGGGCAGAGGAACAGCAUCGUUGGUCUCCAUUAAUGGAUGCACGGAGCGGCGCCUCGAAUUUGGAAGUGCACCGGAGCGGCGGCACUGUUCUUUGGGAUUGGAGAAUUUGGGGAGGAGCCGAGGGGGCGAGGAAACUGGAGACGAGACAGAAGGAGAUCGAUGGAGCGCUGCAGCAGCGUAGCUAAACUAGCUAUCGAUUCUUUUAGCCCGUGAGUGCUAGCUACGUGGUGGGCUUGGGCCUUACUGUAUAAUAUACUACUACGUGGGUUGGGGCCCCUACCUCCCAGGGGCCCAGGGCAGUCGCCCCGUUGCCCCGGCCUAUGGGCCGGCCC